rnacentral:rRNA from 1 species
GAUGAACGCUGGCGGCGUGCCUAAUACAUGCAAGUCGAGCGAACGGACGAGAAGCUUGCUUCUCUGAUGUUAGCGGCGGACGGGUGAGUAACACGUGGAUAACCUACCUAUAAGACUGGGAUAACUUCGGGAAACCGUAGCUAAUACCGGAUAAUAUUUUGAACCGCAUGGUUCAAAAGUGAAAGACGGUCUUGCUGUCACUUAUAGAUGGAUCCGCGCUGCAUUAGCUAGUUGGUAAGGUAACGGCUUACCAAGGCAACGAUGCAUAGCCGACCUGAGAGGGUGAUCGCCCACACUGGAACUGAGACACGCUCCAGACUCCUACGGGAGGCAGCAGUAGGGAAUCUUCCGCAAUGGGCGAAAGCCUGACGGAGCAACGCCGCGUGAGUGAUGAAGGUCUUCGGAUCGUAAAACUCUGUUAUUAGGGAAGAACAUAUGUGUAAGUAACUGUGCACAUCUUGACGGUACCUAAUCAGAAAGCCACGGCUAACUACGUG